AGAAUGAACGUUGGCGGCGUGGAUUAGGCAUGCAAGUCGAACGCGAAAGUAGCAAUACUAGUAGCGUGGCGAAAGGGGCAGUAAUACAUAGAUAACCUACCCUCGGGUCUGGGACAUACGGUGGAAACGCCGUGCAAUACUGGACGCCGUUGCGAGGAGGCAUCUCUUUGCAACGAAAGGUAACGCCCGAGGAGGGGUCUAUGUUCUAUCAGCUAGUUGGUAAGGUAACGGCUUACCAAGGCUACGACGGAUAGGGGGCGUGAGAGCGUGACCCCCGUCACUGGCACUGAGAACUGGCCAGACUCCUACGGGAGGCUGCAGUCGAGAAUCUUCGGCAAUGGGCGCAAGCCUGACCGAGCGACGCCGCGUGGAGGAUGAAGGCCUUCGGGUUGUAAACUCCGUGUUGGGGGGGACCAAAGUCAAUGAGGUAUCCCCUGAGAAGCACGGCUAAGUUCGUGCCAGCAGCCGC
rnacentral:rRNA from 1 species